GCUUUGCCACGUGGCUUUUGAGACCUAAAGAUGUGCACAACACAAAGGGUAUGGAAGGGUUAAGGGUUUGAACCAUGGCAUAAUGUUUUGUCACUGCUUUGCUCUCUGUUCCUUUGCUAAUACUUCCUAAAAUUCCGUUUACUUCUUUUGCCUUUACUGAGCACCACCAUCUGAUGGACAUAUCCACAAAAGCUCCAGAAUCCUUUUUCUGUGUUAUGCAUUUUAUGUGAUAAGAUAUUCGACUGACAUCACAGGUGAAUCUGGAAGUAAGCAUUUUCAGAGGAAGCAUUCUGGGCCCGUGAAUGAAGGCAGAACUACGGACAUCUUUUUUUUUUUUGCCUUUGUGCGACCAUCCCAGGAUGUGAAGUUUGAAGGAGAUGCCAAUGCAUUCUGGUGCAAAGUGAAACAGCUGAGUUAUGCACACCACUUCUCAGGCAUAAUCCUUUGAUGAGAAAACCUUGAUGGUAUUACAGAAGAGGAAGAAAAUCCCUCUCUGCAGAGUCACCAGAGACUUUGGCUAUUACUAAUUGAUUCUACAUGGAGACCAGCACGUGGUGGUGACAGCCAUCAGUCUGAAAUGGUGGCAGGCAUGAUGAUUGGGAACCUACCACCUCAUCCUGACAAAUUGGGAGCUGUCAGUAAGGACAGGACUGGACCAAGCAGUACCUUGGAGAUCUGCCUCUUUCUUCGCAACUUAUCUAACUGUUCUCUUUGUGUUCUUUUUGCGAUAUCUUGGGGAACCAGCUGGAUGGAGUGUUUUACAGAUGCAGCAUUGCACUCAUUGCAGAAGGUGGUAUGUUGAAGUUUGUGCCCACACAGCAGGUGGCCAUUUUGGUAGUUUGAAAGCUUCAAAUAAUCCAUGAAGAUGAAACCUCUGCAGGUGAUGGCAUGGCUCUCCUCAUAAGAAGAAUUUGCUUUGAUCCUUCAUAUUUUCCAGCUCUAUUCUGUGGCAUCCUGUGCUACAGUCUCUUUUUUGGCAGCCUUUCAAGUUAAUAUUUAAACAGCUCUUGAGAACUUUUUAUAUUGAAAUAUUUAA